rnacentral:rRNA from 1 species
GGUGGGGAUUAGUGGCGAACGGGUGAGUAACACGUGGGCAAUCUGCCCUGCACUCUGGGACAAGCCCUGGAAACGGGGUCUAAUACCGGAUACUGACCCGCUUGGGCAUCCAAGCGGUUCGAAAGCUCCGGCGGUGCAGGAUGAGCCCGCGGCCUAUCAGCUUGUUGGUGAGGUAAUGGCUCACCAAGGCGACGACGGGUAGCCGGCCUGAGAGGGCGACCGGCCACACUGGGACUGAGACACGGCCCAGACUCCUACGGGAGGCAGCAGUGGGGAAUAUUGCACAAUGGGCGAAAGCCUGAUGCAGCGACGCCGCGUGAGGGAUGACGGCCUUCGGGUUGUAAACCUCUUUCAGCAGGGAAGAAGCGAAAGUGACGGUACCUGCAGAAGAAGCGCCGGCUAACUACGUGCCAGCAGCCGCGGUAAUACGUAGGGCGCGAGCGUUGUCCGGAAUUAUUGGGCGUAAAGAGCUCGUAGGCGGCUUGUCACGUCGGUUGUGAAAGCCCGGGGCUUAACCCCGGGUCUGCAGUCGAUACGGGCAGGCUAGAGUUCGGUAGGGG